CCUACGGGUGGCAGCAGUGAGGAAUAUUGGUCAAUGGACGAGAGUCUGAACCAGCCAAGUAGCGUGAAGGAUGACUGCCAUAUGGGUUGUAAACUUCUUUUAUAUGGGAAUAAAACGUUCCACGUGUGGGAUUUUGUAUGUACCAUAUGAAUAAGGAUCGGCUAACUCCGUGCCAGCAGCCGCGGUAAUACGGAGGAUCCGAGCGUUAUCCGGAUUUAUUGGGUUUAAAGGGAGCGUAGGUGGAUUGUUAAGUCAGUUGUGAAAGUUUGCGGCUCAACCGUAAAAUUGCAGUUGAAACUGGCAGUCUUGAGUACAGUAGAGGUGGGCGGAAUUCGUGGUGUAGCGGUGAAAUGCUUAGAUAUCACGAAGAACUCCGAUUGCGAAGGCAGUUCACUGGACUGCAACUGACACUGAGGCUCGAAAGUGUGGGUAUCAAACAGGAUUAGAUACCCCUGUAGUC
rnacentral:rRNA from 1 species